GAUGAACGCUGGCGGCGUGCCUAAUACAUGCAAGUCGAGCGAACGGACGAGAAGCUUGCUUCUCUGAUGUUAGCGGCGGACGGGUGAGUAACACGUGGAUAACCUACCUAUAAGACUGGGAUAACUUCGGGAAACCGGAGCUAAUACCGGAUGAUAUUUUGAACCGCAUGGUUCAAAAGUGAAAGACGGUCUUGCUGUCACUUAUAGAUGGAUCCGCGCUGCAUUAGCUAGUUGGUAAGGUAACGGCUUACCAAGGCAACGAUGCAUAGCCGACCUGAGAGGGUGAUCGGCCACACGAGAACUGAGACACGGUCAAGACUCCUACGGGAGGCAGCAGUAGGGAAUCUUACGCAAUGGGCGAAAGCCUGACGGAGCAACGCCGCGUGAGUGAUGAAGGUCUUCGGAUCGUAAAACUCUGUUAUUAGGGAAGAACAUAUGUGUAAGUAACUGUGCACAUCUUGACGGUACCUAAACAGAAAGCCACGGCUAACUACGUG
rnacentral:rRNA from 1 species